CGACUUAUAUUCUGUAGCAAGGUUAACCGAAUAGGGGAGCCGAAGGGAAACCGAGUCUUAACUGGGCGUUAAGUUGCAGGGUAUAGACCCGAAACCCGGUGAUCUAGCCAUGGGCAGGUUGAAGGUUGGGUAACACUAACUGGAGGACCGAACCGACUAAUGUUGAAAAAUUAGCGGAUGACUUGUGGCUGGGGGUGAAAGGCCAAUCAAACCGGGAGAUAGCUGGUUCUCCCCGAAAGCUAUUUAGGUAGCGCCUCGUGAAUUCAUCUCCGGGGGUAGAGCACUGUUUCGGCAAGGGGGUCAUCCCGACUUACCAACCCGAUGCAAACUGCGAAUACCGGAGAAUGUUAUCACGGGAGACACACGGCGGGUGCUAACGUCCGUCGUGAAGAGGGAAACAACCCAGACCGCCAGCUAAGGUCCCAAAGUCAUGGUUAAGUGGGAAACGAUGUGGGAAGGCCCAGACAGCCAGGAUGUUGGCUUAGAAGCAGCCAUCAUUUAAAGAAAGCGUAAUAGCUCACUGGUCGAGUCGGCCUGCGCGGAAGAUGUAACGGGGCUAAACCAUGCACCGAAGCUGCGGCAGCGACGCUUAUGCG
rnacentral:rRNA from 1 species